GAUUAGGAAAGAAGCUCGAUGGUGGUAAUACUUGACUAUAACUUCAACGCUCUGUGAACUGGGGUACUCAAUGCUAAGUCCGAGUAAGAGAAGACAUGUCAUCUUUAUACAUUGAACACGUGACAUGGUUGGCCAUCUUGUUAUUUGUAAUUGUGGUCCAAAGUCAAGACACAUCUUCAAAUCCCACAGAUAAGAAAUGGAUGGAAGCCUGCCAAAAAAGUCCAGAAUUCAAGAUA
rnacentral:sRNA from 1 species